rnacentral:rRNA from 1 species
CUGGCGGCGUCCCUAACACAUGCAAGUCGAGCGGAGGAUUCGAGAUGUUUACAUCGAAGGAUCCUUAGCGGCGGACGGGUGAGUAACACGUGGGUAACCUGCCUCAGAGUGGGGGAUAGCCUUUCGAAAGGAAGAUUAAUACCGCAUAAGAUUGCACUGCCACAUGGCAGAGCAAGAAAAGGACGCAAGUCCGCUUUGAGAUGGACCCGCGGCGCAUUAGCUAGUUGGUGAGGUAACGGCUCACCAAGGCCACGAUGCGUAGCCGACCUGAGAGGGUGAUCGGCCACAUUGGAACUGAGACACGGUCCAGACUCCUACGGGAGGCAGCAGUGGGGAAUAUUGCACAAUGGGCGAAAGCCUGAUGCACCAACGCCGCGUGAGUGAUGAAGGCCUUCCGGUCCCUAAAGCUCUUU